ACGAAUUUACCGUAUUUGUCAAG
rnacentral:misc_RNA from 1 species